rnacentral:rRNA from 1 species
AGGAUGAACGCUGGCGGUCUGCUUAACACAUGCAAGUCGAACGGGCGUAGCAAUACGUUAGUGGCGGACGGGUGAGUAACGCGUGAGAAUCUACCUUCAGGACGGAGACAACAGUUGGAAACGACUGCUAACCCCCGAUGUACUGAAAAGGCAAAUAUUUAUAGCCUGAAGAAGAGCUCGCGUCCGAUUAGCUAGUUGGAGAGGUAAAAGCUCACCAAGGCGACGAUCGGUAGCUGGUCUGAGAGGACGAUCAGCCACACUGGGACUGAGACACGGCCCAGACUCCUACGGGAGGCAGCAGUGGGGAAUUUUCCGCAAUGGGCGAAAGCCUGACGGAGCAAGACCGCGUGGGGGAAGAAGGCUCGUUGGGUUGUUAAAACCCCCUUUUCUCUGGGAAGAACACAAUGACGGUACCAGAGGAAUCAGCAUCGGCUAACUCCGUGCCAGCAGCCGC